rnacentral:rRNA from 1 species
UACGUAGGGGGCAAGCGUUGUCCGGAAUCAUUGGGCGUAAAGAGCGCGUAGGCGGCCCUGUAAGUCCGCUGUGAAAGUCAAGGGCUCAACCCUUGAAUGCCGGUGGAUACUGCAGGGCUAGAGUCCGGAAGAGGCGAGUGGAAUUCCUGGUGUAGCGGUGAAAUGCGCAGAUAUCAGGAGGAACACCAAUGGCGAAGGCAGCUCGCUGGGACGGUACUGACGCUGAGACGCGAAAGCGUGGGAGCAACA